GGGUUGUGAGGUUAAGCGACUAAGCGUACACGGUGGAUGCCCUGGCAGUCAGAGGCGAUGAAGGGCGUACUAAUCUGCGAUAAGCGCCGGUAAGGUGAUAUGAACCGUUAUAACCGGCGAUACCCGAAUGGGGAAACCCAGUGUGAUUCGUCACACUAUCAUUAACUGAAUCCAUAGGUUAAUGAGGCGAACCGGGGGAACUGAAACAUCUAAGUACCCCGAGGAAAAGAAAUCAACCGAGAUUCCCCCAGUAGCGGCGAGCGAACGGGGAGGAGCCCAGAGCCUGAAUCAGCAUGUGUGUUAGUGGAAGCGUCUGGAAAGGCGCGCGAUACAGGGUGACAGCCCCGUACACAAAAGCGCAUGUGCUGUGAGCUCGAUGAGUAGGGCGGGACACGUGGUAUCCUGUCUGAAUAUGGGGGGACCAUCCUCCAAGGCUAAAUACUCCUGACUGACCGAUAGUGAACCAGUACCGUGAGGGAAAGGCGAAAAGAACCCCGGCGAGGGGAGUGAAAAAGAACCUGAAACCGUGUACGUACAAGCAGUGGGAGCACAGGUUUACCUGUGUGACUGCG
rnacentral:rRNA from 2 species